GAAUUUCUUCUACACUGCUGUAACUUGCGAUGGUUAUUUGAGACGUUUCCUAUGUACCAUCGUGAAUAAGGCAAAAAAAGAUUCUAUGUCCUAUAUAUCUCGAUAUUGACAGCUUUCGUGUGAAAAACAAAUCCGUCCACCAUAUAGACUGGAUCAUUGCGUCUGAUGGUUGUAGAACUCAAGUCAAAGUUCCAGAAAAGUGUGUUGCGACGAUAAUUGUAAAUUUAUAGCGAAUGGGCUCAAAAAAAGCGUGCGAUAAAUCACGUGUUACGGAAUUCAAAAAAAUUUUACGUGACAGUAGAUGCUUGAGUCUCUAUGGUCUGUAUUGAGCUCGAUGGAAAGGCUGAAUCUUUCAUGGAGGAAAAACAGUCGGCCGGAUGAUCCGUGUUCAAGUGCUAAAGUGUAAGCAGCACGCUGCAAUACAAUAUGCGGAAAAGAAAAGCGCACAUAUGAGGGGAAAAGCAGCAGUGUCGAUCGCAACAUCACAAGCAGACUCGGAAAUCGCAAAGUCAGUGUGUUCUCUUGUGGUUGCAUGAAUAUUCAAUAGUUCCCUUCGUCGAGUCUCUGUAAGAGAGGAAGAAAUAGAUCGAACUCGGAGGCUCGCCAGCCAUAAAAGGAUAUAUGGGACGUUACGAAUGAAACUUUCAUUCGCAAACCCGCCGUUUCGGUGCUGUCGUUGUGCUUUCGAUCUUUCACGUGGUUUUCAACAAAAAACAUUACGUUCGGGAUGAGCGGACUUCCGCUUCCCAAAUUCAAGCGUUCUUUGGCACUUUGAAGCCAAAAUUCAAUCUCUUUCAUACUUUCCGAGCAUAAAUUGCGCUGACUCGCAAACUUUGAAGAUUUAAUGAAAAAUGUAUCCAAUCACUUAUGAAGAAAAUAUUGGAAAAAUCAAUAAUAAAAUUGGAAUUCAACAACUUUCCUUUAUUAUAUUAUUGUUGUUUUUUUUUUUAAGUGAUAGAAUUGUUUGUUACUCACAAUUCUUAUUUCAUUUUAUGAAGCAGUGAACAAAUAUAAAAUGUAAGAUAACGAAAAA